rnacentral:rRNA from 1 species
CUUACACAUAUUAGAUAAAAUAGAAAGAGCGUACGGG